CCUACGGAAGUGCAAUGGUUGGGUAUUCAGCAGCUGGCUGUGGAGCCUGAGAACCUCACUGGUGCCUAGAGGCUUGAUACAUACAGCCUCCCCAUAUGGGGUGUGCAAAACAAGGGUUUAAAAACGAUUGAAUUGUUAUUCAUUGCCACCAUCUCUGUGGUGUCAGGACUUACUGUGCACGAAAUGUUCUUUCAAAUUCUGGAGCUCCAGUGACAGCCGGGGGCAAGACCUUGUGCUUCAUUCUUGAUUUUCCCACCAGCCGAGCAAAACGACCUGUAAGCAAAAAUAAGGGCUUGUGGAUUGCACGGUUCUUCUCAUUUAGGAAGAACGGUUCAGUUGAGUCUCUAACACAUUUUUUUUUUAUUUUUUAAAGCAAUCAUUGUUCUUUGGCUUUUUUAAUCAGACGGCUACUAGCUAAAACUGUUUUUUUCCCUGCGGAAGUUCAGGUCACGCCUUCAGGCGUGGCUUAUUCUUGAGAAAGGGGAGAAAAUGGCAAAACUGCUGUUCCAGAAAUGUAUUUUUCCCCUUUCUGUAUUCACUGACACUAUUUAGGAACCGAAUAGCCGAGUCCUAGACCCGCACAGCCCAGGCCUACAGCAGCGGUGCUGCUGCAGCCCUACCUCAGCCCUACCACCACGUUGAGGUCAGGCAACACGGCGCUCAGCUGGACUCACAGCAGUUCAUCUGUGUUGGUUCGCCUGUACUGCAGCACAUGCUGGGAGUAAACCGAGCUGCAAUGUUUUACAUCAAAUGAACAGCUCAGCUUGGGCUGGAGUUAUCCUGACCCGCUGGUGAUUUUAACUGGGUUUAGCUAAUACGGAUUAACCACCACAAGGAAGAACGUAUGUAUUUCCUCUUCCCCCUUUCAAGGUCUGAACAAUUUGUGGAGUUUUCCAAAGGCACGAGGCUUCUGGUUAAUGUGCUUUGGUUUGGCUUUAACCCUUCACGCUCCUGUGUCAAGCACAACUACAGCGUAUCUCAAAGCAAAUCAUUACAAGCACUAAAAAUGCUCCCACAGUCACCAACGGAACCACAGCAAGCACAGCAGAAGGGAUGUCACAGACCGGCCCACCUCCUUGGUUCUCUGCACUGUGCCAGCAGCCGUGAAGCGCAUAUUUUAGAUAUUUAAGCUGGUGACCGAACAAGCCCAACUAGGUUCUAGCAAGCGUGGUCCUGGGAAGCUGUGGAACGUCACUGAAAAUGGAGGGGCAUACAUUGCGCUGGAAAGCUGAAGAUGACACACCUGUGUUCCGUCGAACAUAGAAAGAACUAAGUAGUGUUGCAGCUGAGUACACAGUUCUUAUCAGUAGCUGACUUUGAAAGGCGGGGUUGUCCAAAUGUGACUUGCUGCAGGAAUAGAUGCUCAGGAUGUUUCACGUGCGUGCUCGUUGCUCACGGCAUGCUAAUUCUGUCACAAGCAACUGCAAGCGCUCAGCAUCCCCGUCUGUUUCUCAGCCGAGGCAGAAUGACUUAUCAGAAAUCACUGUGGCAGAGAGAAGGGCUUAGAAGAUCAGGAUACACAUGUGCACACGUAUAUGUGAACCACGUCGUGUUCCCCUGUGUGACAUCAUGUUGCUUUUCUGCCACUCGCUGCCUUGCCCGCCGGCAGCUGUGAUUGUUCACACUGCAGGGUGGGAGGUCCCACCUGGCCCGUGCACGCGCUGUGCCUGGAGCAGUGGGGCUUCGCUGCGUGAACCAAACCAUCGGUGGGGUCUUGAGAGAAGAACUGCUGCUUGCGAGUCUGUUGGCGUGAUGCGGUCAGACAAUAUUCUGUCUCGCCCCAUGCAAUCUUUUCAGGGCUUAAUAGGUUUCUCUCUGUAGAUUACAUGCACCCUCAAGAAGGAGGAGUCUUUUUCUUUCUCCUUUACUUCCCUUAAACAUCUGUGCAGUGCCUGGUUUCUUUUUACAGCUGAUCCGUGCAGAGACAGGCCAAGGAGGAGCCUACCCAACGAUCUGCAAGACAGUGCUUGCACAGAACAGCUGAAAAAGCCAGCUGGGAAUCCAAGGGCGGAGUUUGUCGGGGCUGGAAGCAGAAGGCUCUUUAUUUGUAGUCACAUCUGACAACACCUUCAGAGGAGCAGCACAGUCCCCAGUUCUCAGUGGCUGCUCCCAGAAGCACAUAUGGUUCCCAGAACUGAUGACUGGUACCGUGAGUCAUGUUGCAGUGGGAAGCUACAGGUUAUCACUGCGCAUCCCGCAGAGAGAACAUCCCCAAAUUGGAAGCAGAUGGGAACCCGUCUUCUUGUAAACCGGUGCCAGAAAGUUUCUGGUUAGAGUCGUGCUUUGUUCGGCACACAAGCGCAGCAUCGUCUGUGUGCCUCCGCUCGGCCUCCUCCCGGCCUGACACAGCAACUUACCUAACUGAAAUCACAGCCUCUGAGCAGCCCGCUGCCAUGGCUGGAGGGAGCAGCGCUAAGCGAUACGGCCGCACCCAGCACGCAUCCAACAAGCUCCUUACAGUAAUGCCCCUGUUCCCCACAGCCCUCUCUGAAAUGAAGCACUUUCAGCCACUCGUCGUGGCUUCGAUAGCCCUCGGUCAGUGCUGCAGAUUCACCUUCACUUUCAGUUGAGUACAUCCAUAUUGACGAUAGCUUUGUAGGUACAAUAUGUACAAAUUUAAUCACAGAACGUUCUUGCGUUCACGAAGAACCAGACUCCUCCACUGAUGCCUUGCCCCUAUCUCUGCAGACACCCAGUAGCACGCUCACAGAUGCGAACCGCCACUUCCCCAUCCCCAGUCUCCCCAGCCAAAAACAGGGCUGCUGUUGGCCUCCAGAAGGACUCCAGCUGGAUUUCACUGCUCUCCUGCAAGGACUGUUAGACCGUUAGACUGUUCAGGCUUGCAAAUGGCCCCUCUCUGGGAAACCACACUGUGGGGAAAGUACCAAAUGCCAAACCCUACUCAGUGGAAUUACAUGAGAAUCCACUAUGUGGAGCCCGCCACUAAUGAUUUGGCCAACGAGAAAAGUGGAUUUGAAUGAGCUCCUCACCAAAAUUUCAGGUGCGUGUGCUUCCCCAUCGCCUUAAAGUUUGCAUCUCUCAGCAGCCGAGGCACGGGACAAUUUGCUGUGCAGCGACUCAGGUGCGUAAGUGCAUAGAGGAGUUUAGUGACAGAGCUGGCACUGUUGUGACAGAAAGUCAUAUCCCUUCCCUCUCCUUGGGAGCGAAUUCUCCACCAGAUUUCCGCAGUGCAGCUUCAUCCUGCGGUUCCGUUUGCCUCAGUCCUUACUUUGCUUCCAUCUGGCCUAAGUUCUUGCAGCCCGUCAAAGAGCGCAAGAUUCCCAGUCUAAACAAGGGAACUAAGCGUAGCUUUGCUGUUGUUGCUGAUAGCGUGCUGCGUUUUGGGUACUGCGUUCUGGCAGGUGCAGAAUCUCCUUCCAGCAUUAGAUCAGG